rnacentral:rRNA from 1 species
GUGAGUAACACGUGGGUAACCUGCCUGUAAGACUGGGAUAACUCCGGGAAACCGGAGCUAAUACCGGAUAGUUCCUUGAACCGCAUGGUUCAAGGAUGAAAGACGGUUUCGGCUGUCACUUACAGAUGGACCCGCGGCGCAUUAGCUAGUUGGUGAGGUAACGGCUCACCAAGGCGACGAUGCGUAGCCGACCUGAGAGGGUGAUCGGCCACACUGGGACUGAGACACGGCCCAGACUCCUACGGGAGGCAGCAGUAGGGAAUCUUCCGCAAUGGACGAAAGUCUGACGGAGCAACGCCGCGUGAGUGAUGAAGGUUUUCGGAUCGUAAAGCUCUGUUGUUAGGGAAGAACAAGUGCAAGAGUAACUGCUUGCACCUUGACGGUACCUAACCAGAAAGCCACGGCUAACUACGUGCCAGCAGCCGCSGUAAUACGUAGGUGGCAAGCGUUGUCCGGAAUUAUUGGGCGUAAAGGGCUCGCAGGCGGUUUCUUAAGUCUGAUGUGAAAGCCCCCGGCUCAACCGGGGAGGGUCAUUGGAAACUGGGAAACUUGAGUGCAGAAGAGGAGAGUGGAAUUCCACGUGUAGCGGUGAAAUGCGUAGAGAUGUGGAGGAACACCAGUGGCGAAGGCGACUCUCUGGUCUGUAACUGACGCUGAGGAGCGAAAGCGUGGGGAGCGAACAGGAUUAGAUACCCUGGUAGUCCACGCCGUAAACGAUGAGUGCUAAGUGUUAGGGGGUUUCCGCCCCUUAGUGCUGCAGCUAACGCAUUAAGCACUCCGCCUGGGGAGUACGGUCGCAAGACUGAAACUCAAAGGAAUUGACGGGGGCCCGCACAAGCGGUGGAGCAUGUGGUUUAAUUCGAAGCAACGCGAAGAACCUUACCAGGUCUUGACAUCCUCUGACAACCCUAGAGAUAGGGCUUUCCCUUCGGGGACAGAGUGACAGGUGGUGCAUGGUUGUCGUCAGCUCGUGUCGUGAGAUGUUGGGUUAAGUCCCGCAACGAGCGCAACCCUUGAUCUUAGUUGCCAGCAUUCAGUUGGGCACUCUAAGGUGACUGCCGGUGACAAACCGGAGGAAGGUGGGGAUGACGUCAAAUCAUCAUGCCCCUUAUGACCUGGGCUACACACGUGCUACAAUGGACAGAACAAAGGGCUGCGAGACCGCAAGGUUUAGCCAAUCCCACAAAUCUGUUCUCAGUUCGGAUCGCAGUCUGCAACUCGACUGCGUGAAGCUGGAAUCGCUA